rnacentral:tRNA from 1 species
GAAGGUGUAGCUCAGGGGUAGAGUGUGUGCUUACUUAGCAUGCAUGAGGUCCUGGGUUCAAUUCCCAGUACUUCCA